rnacentral:rRNA from 1 species
AACGAACGCUGGCGGCAUGCCUAACACAUGCAAGUCGAACGAGACCUUCGGGUCUAGUGGCGCACGGGUUCGUAACGCGUGGGAACCUGCCCUUAGGUUCGGAAUAACGCCCCGAAAGGGGUGCUAAUACCUGAUAAUGUCUCCGGACCAAAGAUUGAUCGCCUUUGGAUGGGCCCGCGUUGGAGUAGCUAGUUGGUAGGGUAAAAGCCUACUAAGACGACGAUCCAUAGCUGGUCGGAGAGGAUGAUCAGCCACACUGGGACUGAGACACUGCCCAGACUCCUACGGGAGGCAGCAGUGGAGAAUAGUGGACGAGGGGCGAAAGCAUGCACCAGCAAUGCGGCGUGAGUGAUGAAGGCCUGAGGGUUGUAAAGCUCUUGUACCCGGGAUGAUAAUGACAGUACCGGGAGAAUAAGCGCCGGCUAACUACGUG